rnacentral:lncRNA from 1 species
GAGGGGUUGGUGAGUUUGAAAUGAAAGAGUCUUUUGGUUAAAGAGGGCUUUUUGCUUAAGGCUAAAAUGAAUGCUUGAAAAAUCUUAAAUACCUUAUCUUUUUUCCUCCUUCAAGUGCCUUUAUAUCUUCAAUAGAUGCUAGAGACAAAUUUGGGCUGAAAUAUAGCCAUUGGAGUGUAUUACAUGAGCAUUAAUGUUGCCCAGCUAUGCAACCCAAGAGGGGG